GCAAGGGGCCUAUUGACGAGCCUGCGUCUGAUUAGCUAGUUGGUGAGGUAACGGCCCACCAAGGCGACGAUCAGUAGCUGGUCUGAGAGGAUGAUCAGCCACACUGGAACUGAGACACGGUCCAGACUCCUACGGGAGGCAGCAGUGAGGAAUAUUGCGCAAUGGCCGAAAGGCUGACGCAGCGACGCCGCGUGAAGGAUGAAGUUCGUUAGAAUGUAAACUUCUUUUGUAGGGGAUGAAUGUGCCGUUUUACGGCAUUGACCGUACCCUGCGAAUAAGGAUCGGCUAACUACGUGCCAGCAGCCGCGGUAAUACGUAGGAUCCGAGCGUUGUCCGGAUUUACUGGGUGUAAAGGGCGUGUAGGUGGGUCUCUAAGUCAGUGGUGAAAGCCCGCAGCUUAACUGCGGAAUUGUCAUUGAUACUGGAGGUCUUGAGUACGGCAGAGGGAAAUGGAAUUCAUGGUGUAGCGGUGAAAUGUGUAGAUAUCAUGAAGAACACCGGUAGCGAAGGCGGUUUCCUGGUCCGUAACUGACACUGAGGCGCGAAAGCGUGGGGAGCAAACAGGAUUAGAU
rnacentral:rRNA from 1 species